rfam:Brachypodium distachyon strain Bd21 chromosome 4, whole genome shotgun sequence.
CUUAUACUUCCUCCGUCCAAUAAAAUAUGUCUUAAUUUUGACUAAAUUUGAAUGCAUCUAUACACUAAGUUAUGUCUAGAUACAUUCAAAUUUUGACAAACUUAAAACAUCUUUUGUUGGAUGGAGGGAGUAUGAG